rnacentral:rRNA from 1 species
UACGGGGGGGGCAAGCGUUGUUCGGAAUUACUGGGCGUAAAGGGCUCGUAGGUGGCCAACUAAGUCAGACGUGAAAUCCCUCGGCUUAACCGGGGAACUGCGUCUGAUACUGGAUGGCUUGAGUUUGGGAGAGGGACGCGGAAUUCCAGGUGUAGCGGUGAAAUGCGUAGAUAUUUGGAGGAACGCCGAUGGCGAAGGCAGGUCUCUGGGCAUUAACUGACGCUGAGGAGCGAAAGCAUGGGGAGCGAACAGG